CGUAGGGACCAAGCGUUGUUCGGAUUUACUGGGCGUAAAGGGCGCGUAGGCGGCAAUUCAAGUCAUCUGUGAAAUCUCCGGGCUUAACUCGGAACGGUCAGAUGAUACUGCUUUGCUAGAGUGCAGAAGGGGCAAUCGGAAUUCUCGGUGUAGCGGUGAAAUGCGUAGAUAUCGAGAGGAACACCAGAGGUGAAGACGGGUUGCUGGGCUGACACUGACGCUGAGGCGCGAAAGCCAGGGGAGCAAACGGGAUUAGAUACCCCGGUAGUCCUGGCCCUAAACGAUGAAUACUUGGUGUCUGGAGUUAUUAGUGCUCCGGGUGCCGUCGCUAACGUUUUUAGUAUUCCGCUGGGGAGUACGCUCGCAAGAGUG
rnacentral:rRNA from 1 species